GGUUGUCUGUCUCUAUAUGUCAGCCCUGUGAUUGGCUGGUGACCAGUCCAGGGUGUAACCCCGUCUCUCGACCAAUGACAGCUGGGAUCAGCUCCAGCGUCCCGCGACCGCUAACGGGAAAAGCAGUAUAGGUAACGGAUGAAUGGAAAUGAACAAUAUUCUGUUUGUUUUGAAUGAAGAACGUACACAAAGACAGUUUUAAAAUUAUUUUAUUAAACAAUGUUUUUAUACAACUUCCUACUUUAUGCUUUAUGUGUUUAAGUAAAAGAGAAGAAUGUAAGAAGAAUGUAAGAGAAAAACAUUUUGAAGGAGCCAUGAAGCAAACUGUUGAGAGAGAUUUAGCUGUAAGUGAAAUGAGACAUUCAAAGAUGCAGCAGUGUUCUUCUUUUCCAUCACAGGGAGACACUGAGGACCACUAUCUACGGAGAGCCUGAAGGGACAAACAUGAGAUCAAUGUGAAUAAUCACACUGACGCUGACAGCCCUGGUUCAAAACAAAGGAAUAUUGUCUUUCCAAGCAGGUUGACCCUCGUUGGCCGGCCUUUACACCCCGCUGAUCAGGAACAUGCAUAAAGAGAGAUCACACAAAAAACAGAACA